CCUACGGGUGGCAGCAGUGAGGAGUAUUGGUCAAUGGCCGGAAGGCUGAACCAGCCAAGCCGCGUGAGGGACGAAGGUGCAAAGCAUUGUAAACUUCUUUUGUCAAGGGACAAAAUCAGGCUCGAGAGCCUGACCGAGGGUACUUGAAGAAAAAGCAUCGGCUAACUCCGUGCCAGCAGCCGCGGUAAUACGGAGGAUGCGAGCGUUAUCCGGAUUUAUUGGGUUUAAAGGGUGCGUAGGCGGGCUGUUAAGUCAGCGGUAAAAGCCCGGGGCUCAACCCCGGCGAGCCGUUGAAACUGGCAGUCUUGAGAUGGCGAGAGGUAUGCGGAAUGCGCGGUGUAGCGGUGAAAUGCAUAGAUAUCGCGCAGAACUCCGAUUGCGAAGGCAGCAUGCCGGCGGCAAUCUGACGCUGAGGCACGAAAGCGUGGGUAUCGAACAGGAUUAGAUACCCUGGUAGUC
rnacentral:rRNA from 1 species